rnacentral:tRNA from 1 species
UCCCGUGUGGUCUAGAGGUUAUGAUGUCUGGUUACAACCCAGAAGAUCACGAGUUCGAUUCUCGUCACGGGAG